GAUGAACGCUAGCGGGAGGCCUAACACAUGCAAGCCGAGCGGUAGAGUUCCUUCGGGAACUUGAGAGCGGCGUACGGGUGCGUAACACGUGUGCGACCUACCUUUAUCUGGGGGAUAGCCUUUCGAAAGGAAGAUUAAUACCCCAUAAUAUAUUGAAUGGCAUCAUUUAAUAUUGAAAACUCUGGUGGAUAGAGAUGGGCACGCGCAAGAUUAGAUAGUUGGUGAGGUAACGGCUCACCAAGUCUGUGAUCUUUAGGGGUCCUGAGAGGGAGAUCCCCCACACUGGUACUGAGACACGGACCAGACUCCUACGGGAGGCAGCAGUGAGGAAUAUUGGACAAUGGGUGAGAGCCUGAUCCAGCCAUCCCGCGUGAAGGAUGACGGUCCUAUGGAUUGUAAACUUCUUUUGUACAGGAAUAAACCUAUUUACGUGUAAAUAGCUGAAGGUACUGUACGAAUAAGCACCGGCUAACUCCGUGCCAGCAGCCGCAGUAA
rnacentral:rRNA from 1 species